CAAGUCGAGCGGUAGCCCCUUCGGCGGUCACGAGCGGCGACGGGUGAGUAAAAAAGAAACAAUCUGCCCUUCACUUCGGGAUAACCACCGGAAACGGUGGCUAAUACCGGAUACGACCAUCCCGGGCAUCUGGUGGUGGUGGAAAGUUCCGGCGGUGGAGGAUGAGCUCGCGGCCUAUCACCUUGUUGGUGGGGUAAUGGCCUACCAAGGCGACGACGGGUAGCCGGCCUGAGAGGGUGACCGGCCACACUGGGACUGAGACACGGCCCAGACUCCUACGGGAGGCAGCAGUGGGGAAUAUUGGACAAUGGGCGAAAGCCUGAUCCAGCAACGCCGCGUGAGGGAUGACGGCCUUCGGGUUGUAAACCUCUUUCAGCGCCGACGAAGCGAAAGUGACGGUAGGCGCAGAAGAAGCACCGGCCAACUACGUGCCAGCUGCUUUUGGUAAUA
rnacentral:rRNA from 1 species